ACGACCUCCGUGUGUCUCUGUCAGCGAGUGUCUCUGGGUGGCCUGCCAAGGACUGAAACCCAUCAGCUCUCUGGGCAGGCCCGGAAGAGAGAGGG